rnacentral:rRNA from 1 species
CAGUAGCCGCGGUAAUACGUAGGUGGCAAGCGUUGUCCGGAAUUAUUGGGCGUAAAGCGCGCGCAGGCGGAUAGGUCAGUCUGUCUUAAAAGUUCGGGGCUUAACCCCGUGAUGGGAUGGAAACUGCCAAUCUAGAGUAUCGGAGAGGAAAGUGGAAUUCCUAGUGUAGCGGUGAAAUGCGUAGAUAUUAGGAGGAACACCAGUGGCGAAGGCGACUUUCUGGACGAAAACUGACGCUGAGGCGCGAAAGCCAGGGGAGCGAACGGGAUUAGAGACCCCCGUAGUCCCUGUCUCUUAUACA